rnacentral:misc_RNA from 1 species
GGUUCUAUAACUCAGAGGUAGGAGCUCAUUUCUUCAAGUUUCCCUUCAUUGAUUUUAUGAUCUCUUCUUCUUGUUGCUCAAAAAACCUUUAGCAUAUAUCUCUGGCAUAAAGUUGCAAAUAAUGUGAUUGCGAUGUAAGCAUGAAACACCUUGGUAGCUAAUCUUUAAUUUCUUAAAUGCACUUUUGUCAAAAUAUUCCAAUCUAGAAUUUUCUCGGAAGAAAUGGGAAAAAAGUUACUGUCCAUAUGUAUAGGUUUUUAAAAUGUGUUGCAAUGUUAGGCUGGCCAUAUCAAAUACUUCCAUUUGGUAAACUGAAAUGGAAUCAUAAAAGAUAACAAUCCUCGAAGAUUGUAAGUAUGCCUUGUGGAUGUUUUUGCCUAGGGUUCCCCUCUUUAUCUGUCUUGCAUUUUUUUUCUCUUACCCAUCCAUGUGCAUGACAAGGAUGAAACUUGAUCUUAUUCUGUGCGUAUGGUCUGUAAAAGCAUGCCUGGAGAGAAUGGCAAUCCUGUCCUUGAAAGUAGUACUCAUUCUGUUUCUAAUACCUUGUGUUAGCGGAGGAUCUUAUGCCUUGUAUGUCCAAGUUUUCCUAUAAAACACAAUAAAGGAUUGGGAUAGCAGCGUUAAACAUCAAAUUUCAAUUUCCAUAGUCUUUGAGACUGAGAAUUGCUCUAAAGGGAUGGUAACUGGUGAUGGUAAUAGUAUCUCAAUAUUAGUAUGUGAAUCUUUCCAGUACUCUAGGGCAUAACCAGGUUAUUAUAGUAGUAUUUUAAACAUUUAGUUGAACAUGGUACUGAAUAUUGUUG